rnacentral:rRNA from 1 species
UACGUAGGUGGCGAGCGUUAUCCGGAUUUACUGGGUGUAAAGGGCGUGUAGGCGGGUUAGCAAGUUGGAAGUGAAAUACCGCAGCUUAACUGCGGGGCUGCUUUCAAAACUACUAAUCUUGAGUGUCGGAGAGGAAAGUGGAAUUCCUAGUGUAGCGGUGAAAUGCGUAGAUAUUAGGAGGAACACCAGUGGCGAAGGCGACUUUCUGGACGAUAACUGACGCUGAGGCGCGAAAGCGUGGGGAGCAAACAGGAUUAGAUACCCUGGUAGUCCACGCUGUAAACGAGGGAUACUAGGUGUGGGAGGUAUCGACCCCUUCCGUGCCGGAGUUAACACAAUAAGUAUCCCACCUGGGGAGUACGGCCGCAAGGUUGAA